rnacentral:lncRNA from 1 species
UUUCCGUCAAAAACAUAUUUGGUAUUUAAUCACCACGUGGGGUAAUUUUAAAAUACAUUUUAAUAAGCUACAUAUUUAGCCAAUUAGCUUAACGGGCAAAAACCCUAUGCAGAUUUAGGAUCGGCUAAAUUCUGUUUGUCACUUCCGUAAAUAUUUAUUAGCCGUGCGUUUGUGUUUAAUGUGUUUGCAGUUCAUUUUAUUGUUGUGCUUACCAAAAUGUGUGUGAACGUUAGUUAAACACCCCGAAACACAUCUGACAAGUGUAUAAUGUUGUUUUUGUGGCCACAGUGCUAACUUUAUCAGACUGUAACGCCAGAAGUUUCUAAUUCAUAACAACAUUGAGUCAGCUAUUCAGUUCAAUGUAUUGUCACUUCUAGUUUUAAAAGAAGAGGCUCAGAGAUCUUCUUGGAGGCCUUGGAGUAAAUGAAGUGCGUGACCCAUCAUGUACCCGCUGAGGCAGGAGACAAAGGGAAGAGACGGCACUGGCAAGCCACUGAUGGAGUUUGUCAUGCUGUUUACUGGAAGCUGAAGGUUUGUAUGGGAGCCAACAACCGCAACAGCUGACAGGAGGCCCCAGAAGCCUCUCACAAAAGCAAAGGGGAGCUUGACGUGAUUGCAUCCCUAAAAUUAAACCCAGCACAAACAGAAUACCUGGCAGAAGCUCUGUGCACAUCCCUCCAUUCACAUGCUCUCUGGAAUGAUGGCGGCAUGUAGGACGCCACAACCAGGCUGUCCUGUGGAAUUAUUGCACAAUAA